rnacentral:tRNA from 1 species
GGGCAGGUGCGCCGAAUCGGUGAAGGCAGCGGUCUGUAAAACCGUGACAUUGAAACGUUGUUGGUUCGAAUCCAACCCUACCCACCA